rnacentral:ncRNA from 1 species
AAAACUCUGGAAAGACUAUUAAAAGCACCGACGAAGCAAUCUUAAGUAUAGUAGGAGAAUCUUUCAGGUAAAAAGACAGAGACG